rnacentral:misc_RNA from 1 species
GAAAUGCGAUACUUGGUGUGAAUUGCAGAAUCCCGUGAACCAUCGAGUCUUUGAACGCACAUUGCGCCCGCCAGUAUUCUGGCGGGCAUGCCUGUCUGAGCGUCAUUUCAACCCUCCCCGCGGCAUUCGUGUCGGGGGGCUGUUGGGGCUCGACGACCGCCUCCGCGGCGGACGUCGUCCCCUAAACCCAGUGGCAGCCUCGCCGCGGCCUCCCUCGCGCAGUAAACAAACCUCGCGGGCGGAGACACAGCGACGGAUCGCCGUAAAACCCCCAACUCUUUCAAUGGUUGACCUCAGAUCAGGUAGGAAUACCCGCUGAGUUUAA